ACCAGCUAAGGAUCGUCGCCUUGGUGAGCCUUUACCUCACCAACUAGCUAAUCCUACGCGGGCUCAUCCUUGGGCGAUAAAUCUUUGGACCGAAGUCAUCAUCCGGUAUUAGCAGUCGUUUCCAACUGUUAUUCCGGACCCAAGGGCAGAUUCCCACGCGUUACGCACCCGUGCGCCACUAAGGCCGAAGCCUUCGUUCGACUUGCAUGUGUUAGGCAUGCCGCCAGCGUUCGUUCUGAGCCAGGAUCAAACUCUA
rnacentral:rRNA from 1 species